rnacentral:rRNA from 1 species
UACGUAGGGUGCGAGCGUUAAUCGGAAUUACUGGGCGUAAAGCGUGCGCAGGCGGUUUGUUAAGCCAGAUGUGAAAGCCCCGGGCUCAACCUGGGAACUGCGUUUGGUACUGGCAAGCUAGAGUACGGCGGAGGGGGGUGGAAUUCCACGUGUAGCAGUGAAAUGCGUAGAGAUGUGGAGGAACACCGAUGGCGAAGGCAGCCCCCUGGGCCGAUACUGACGCUCAGGCACGAAAGCGUGGGGAGCAAACAGG